rnacentral:rRNA from 1 species
AGAGUUUGAUCCUGGCUCAGGAUGAACGCUGGCGGCGUGCCUAACACAUGCAAGUCGAACGAAGCACUUAAGACGGACCCUUCGGGGGAAGGUUUAAGUGACUGAGUGGCGGACGGGUGAGUAACGCGUGGGCAACCUGCCCUGUACAGGGGGAUAACAGUUGGAAACGGCUGCUAAUACCGCAUAAGCGCACAGUGGGACAUCCCACGGUGUGAAAAACUCCGGUGGUACAGGAUGGGCCCGCGUCUGAUUAGCUAGUUGGCAGGGUAACGGCUUACCAAGGCAACGAUCAGUAGCCGGUCUGAGAGGAUGAACGGCCACAUUGGAACUGAGACACGGUCCAAACUCCUACGGGAGGCAGCAGUGGGGAAUAUUGCACAAUGGGGGAAACCCUGAUGCAGCAACGCCGCGUGAGUGAAGAAGUAUUUCGGUAUGUAAAGCUCUAUCAGCAGGGAAGAUAAUGACGGUACCUGACUAAGAAGCUCCGGCUAAAUACGUGCCAGCAGCCGCGGUAAUACGUAUGGAGCAAGCGUUAUCCGGAUUUACUGGGUGUAAAGGGUGCGUAGGCGGCAAGGCAAGUCAGAUGUGAAAGACCGGGGCUCAACCCCUGGACUGCAUUGGAAACUGUUAGUCUUGAGUGCCGGAGAGGUAAGCGGAAUUCCUAGUGUAGCGGUGAAAUGCGUAGAUAUUAGGAGGAACACCAGUGGCGAAGGCGGCUUACUGGACGGUAACUGACGUUGAGGCUCGAAAGCGUGGGGAGCAAACAGGAUUAGAUACCCUGGUAGUCCACGCCGUAAACGAUG